GCAACCUGUGGGUCUCUGAGGCUCUGGCAUGUGUCCUCUGUCAGUGGAUCUGCACGCAAUCUUGCAGAAGAUGGAGAUACUAAGCGGAGAGGAGUCCAACGUUAUCACCACAGACGUGAAGAUUCAUUACUUUUGCCACUUUCAAAACUCUCUAGCACUGAGGAUUUAAACCCAGAACCUUACUUAGCACAUGCUACAGAAGAGCUCUACCACUGAGCUACACGAUUAAUUCCAGUAACUUCAUCUAUAAAGAAUGCUGAGAGGAUUGAUGUAUGCUUCGGUAGACUGCCCAUGUUAACAAUGGGUCAUGCCGUCAUCUAUGUUGAGAACAGGCUUCAGAGUCAAGCCUGCUUAGAGAGAACCAAAGCAGGAGGGAGUGGCUUCUGCUUUGAAAAAUCAGAAUCCGGAUGAAGAAAAUAUGGAUGAAUUUAAACAUAAUGAAUUUAAAAAUUUGAAAACACUGAAUAAAACUGUU